UACGGAGGGUGCUAGCGUUGUUCGGAAUUAUUGGGCGUAAAGCGCGUGUAGGCGGCGUGACAAGUCGGGUGUGAAAGCCCUCAGCUCAACUGAGGAAGUGCGCCCGAAACUGUCGUGCUUGAGUGCCGGAGAGGGUGGCGGAAUUCCCCAAGUAGAGGUGAAAUUCGUAGAUAUGGGGAGGAACACCGGUGGCGAAGGCGGCCACCUGGACGGUAACUGACGCUGAGACGCGAAAGCGUGGGGAGCAAACAGG
rnacentral:rRNA from 1 species